rnacentral:lncRNA from 1 species
GAGGUGAGUCAGCUCUGCCCUAAUGAGUGGGUUCAUCCAUUCCCCCGUGAAUGGACUUGCAAGUUAAUGGUUAUCUCCGGAGCGGGCCUGCUACCAAAGCCAGUUUGGCAAGGUCUCUCAUGCGUUCCUGGCCUCUGGCCCUCAGGUGCCCUGCCCCACUUGAGCACUCUGCCAGCAAGGCUAUCACGGCUGACUUGGGGACAGAACCAUGAGCCAGAGUGGACCUCUCUUCUGGUCUGGUAUGGUGCUGCUGGCAGCAGGAAGGGGCCCGAGGGCAUCAGGAGGUCUGGGGAGGGCCGAGGCGGGAGAGGGCCUGUGCUCAGGUUUAGGUAAUUCUGACUACUAAUAAUGGAGGGUCUGAAAACAUCGAUUCAUUCAUUCAUUUGUUGGUUCAGCAGGUGAUGAUACAAACACCCCCAGGACCAUGGCCAGGCCUGUGAAUGGGAAGAAAUGGUCAAGAGAGUGUGGGCUGCUAGUCAGGGUCUGAAUUCUGCUUCUACCCCUAGGACCGUGUGACCCUGGACUAGUCACCUCACAGCUUUCCCCCACCAUGAAAGAAGGAGAACAAGAGUGAUGCUUUUCCUUCGUUAAGACCUAGAUUAAAUGGUGUCCUCUGCCAGGUGCCCACGGGCUUCCUCUGGACCCUGUGGUCCCACACGCUCACACCUGCUAUGCACAUGCCACCAAAGCUCCUUCUGAAAACAGCUGUGUGUGCUGCCCCGAGCUCAUGCCCUGGGUCCCCAGGCCUCUGCAGGUGGGAUCUCUGUGCCAACACCAGAUGAGACUGCCACCCGUCCCCCAACAUCUUGCUUAGGGAGGAAGGACAGAUGCCCUCUGGGAUGGCAACUUGUGGUCCCUGCAUCUGAGAAGGACAAAGGCAGGCAGAACUGAGGGUCACCACCAAGACUAUUUUCUCUGGGAAAACCUUUAAAUUCAGGCAUGCAGCAUUUCUGGUUCUACCCAGGAACAGCCCCAAAGCAAGUUCCAAGAUGAUUCCUGUAUCUGCCUUUCUUCUCCCUCUUCCCAGUUGCUCUCUGUUGCUUCCCAAAGCACCUUGCACCCAGAGUAUGGCAGCUGCCAUUGUAUUGAAAUGUAAGGGAAACAGUGAUCGGGGAUUGUAGGAAGCUUUCUGUGUAAUUUCUGUUUCUAAAGAUUGUCAACAAAACAAUAUCUCCCCUGCUCAACUGUCCCAGUUGCUCCCACGAGCAUCAAGAAUGUUUCCUCCCUGCCACCCCACCACCACCACCACCUGUCUCGUGUCAACCCCGUCCAUUCCUCUGAAGGCUGCUGCUGAGCGCUGGGAGUGUCCGGAACAUCUUGGGGAGGAUUUUGAAUUGGGUAAUUUGGGCUCCUCCAAUUUCCUAAGUUCUAUGAUGCCUGAGAUUUUGUUCUAUUGUUUCCUGCUAAAUUGAUGAACAAAUCCCCUCUCCCACCAGCUCUGGGCUUCAUAAGAUAACAGUAGGGACAGGUGCUGAAAGUGCUUCCGUGGAGAGCGAGGGAGGAGACGUGUGACCGCCCCCACCCCACCCUCGAGGGCACGUGCUUACAGAGCUAUGGCAACGCAUGUGUGAGCUCCUCUAAAGCCCCUGGAAAUCAAAUCUGGUGCCAUUGUUGGGUUUGGACCUGGAGUGUGUGCAGCACAGCAGCACAGCUGGCGUUAGGGACAAUCAGGCCAACAAGGUGUCCUACCGUGACCCAGAUGAUGGAGGAAACAGCAUCCCCCAUCCUUCCGUGUGCCUUGUCCCACUGGGCAUGUCCCCCAGGCCAGCUCCUGGUCUCCCCCGUGGCCCUGUGGGGUGCAGGGUCUGCAGAGGGCCACUCAAGAGAGGUCUGUGAAUUGCCAUAGGUCCUAAGACCUGCCCUGCUCAGCCCUCUGAUGAAAGCCGGCCGUUUUGGAAGCUGAGCUGGAGAAGAGACGCUGCGGUGCAUCCAGAGAGUGGGGGGUGCCUUCUCGCGGGAGAGAACAGAGCUGCCGUGGAGCAGCACACAGGAAACUUGGCUGCAUAUGGCUGAAAGAAAAAGAAACCUGCACAGGCUCGAGUCUGACUCUAGCUCCAGGACCCUGGAAAAGAACUCUGGAGACAGUCAAAGGAUCAGUGGGUGCCCGGGUGGGGGGACAGGGCAGGAACAGGUGGAGCACAGAGGGGUUUUAGGGCUGCGACUCUAUUCUGUCUGAUACUACAGUGGUGGACACGUCAUUAUACAUCUGUCCAAAUCCAGAAGAGGCACAGCCCAGGAGUGGACCUGAGCUUGAAGCACGGAUUGGGGGGUGGAUGAUGGCAGGUGAAUUGGGUUCAUUGAUUGUAACAAGUGUUCCACCUGGGACAGGAGGUUGACAUGUGGUGGGGGAUG